rnacentral:rRNA from 1 species
AGAGUUUGAUCAUGGCUCAGAGCGAACGCUGGCGGCGUACUUAACACAUGCAAGUCGAGCGAGGGUCAUGGUGUGAGCAAUCAUGUCGUGACUCUAGCGGCGGACGGGUGAGUAACACGUGGGUAACCUGCCCUCGAGUCCGGGACACCCCCUCGAAAGGGGGGCUAAUACUGGAUACGUUCCUCGGGUCGCAAGAUCUGGGGAGGAAAGGUAGCUCGCAAGGGCUGCCGCUCGUGGAGGGGCUCGCGGCCUAUCAGCUAGUUGGUGGGGUAACGGCCUACCAAGGCGAUGACGGGUAGCUGGUCUGAGAGGACGACCAGCCACACGGGGACUGAGACACGGCCCCGACUCCUACGGGAGGCAGCAGUGGGGAAUCUUCCGCAAUGGGCGAAAGCCUGACGGAGUGACGCCGCGUGGGGGACGAAGGCCUUCGGGUCGUAAACCCCUGUCAGAGGGAAAGAUGGGUGUCGGCGUGCACAGCGCCGGCAUCUGACGGUACCUUCAGAGGAAGCCCCGGCCAACUCUGUGCCAGCAGCCGCGGUAAGACAGAGGGGGCAAGCGUUGCUCGGAAUUACUGGGCGUAAAGGGCGUGUAGGCGGAGCGGCAAGUCAGUCGUGAAAGCCUCCGGCUCAACUGGAGAACGUCGAUCGAUACUGCCGUCCUUGAGGGUAGCAGAGGAGACUGGAAUUCCCGGUGUAGCGGUGAAAUGUGUAGAGAUCGGGAGGAACACCGGUGGCGAAGGCGGGUCUCUGGGCUACUCCUGACGCUGAGGCGCGAAAGCGUGGGGAGCAAACGGGAUUAGAUACCCCGGUAGUCCACGCUGUAAACGAU